AACGAACGCUGGCGGCAUGCCUAACACAUGCAAGUCGAACGAGACCUUCGGGUCUAGUUGCGCACGUGUGCGUAACGCGGGGGAACCUGCACUUAGGUUCGGAAUAACUCCCCGUAAGGUAUGCUAAUACCGGUUAGUGUCAUCCGACCAAAGAGUUUUCGCCUCUGGAUGGGCGCUCGUUGGAUUAGCUAGUUGGUAGGGGAAAAGCCUGCCAACGCGACGUUGGAUAGCUGGUCUGAUAGGAUGACCCGCCACAAUGGGAGUGCGGCACGGACCAGACUGCUACGGGGGGGAGCAGUGGAGAAUAUUAGACACUGGGGGAAGGUGUAGUCACGCAGUGCGGGGGGAGUGAGGAAUCCCUUAGGGUUGUAAAUCCGUUUGACCCGGGAUGUGAAUGACGGUACCGGGUAAAUAAGCUCCGGCUAACUCCGUG
rnacentral:rRNA from 1 species